rnacentral:lncRNA from 1 species
CAAAGUUGCUCAAGGUCCAGUAACUUCUGGAAGCCCAAGAGAGAGCUCAUAUUCAGAGGACAGGAAGACAAUUCCAGACCAUUGGUCCACAGAGGUGUCACCUGUCCUUCUGUGUCUGUGUCAGCCUCACUGCCCCCUGACUUACCCCUGCCCCCAGGAAAAAUGUCACAGCUGACAUUUGGAGCAUAGCAGUCGAUGAUGCCCACACAGACACUGCCUGAGACUCACGCCCCUGGAGAAACGCAGAUUUCCUUAUUUUCCAGGUCAAGUCCUGCCAGCCAUAGAAAGGACUUCUUUGGUGCCAACUGCUGUGAAAUGCCUGCCUUGGAAAUCUCAGUGCUCCCUUGUACCUGUCUGAGCCCAGGGAAAUGCCAUACUGUGGCACUGCUGCAUCCUGUAUGGCUACCCAAGGAUGCCCAGGACUGGGUUUGAAAGAGAUGAGACAUGGCCAGGUGCCGUGGCUCACGCUUGUAAUCCCAGCACUUUGG